GCAGUUUAUAGUUAUCCAACUGAAGACUCAAGAGAGAAGCUUUUCCCAGUUUCAAGCCAAAUUACAGAUAAAGCUCCAAUUUUGAGUUGAUCUUCGUUGACUCAUUUCUUCCUAUGGGUUCAGGUCCUUAUACUUUCUUUGUAUCUUCUGGAGUUGAUAGGUAAGUAAUUCAUUCUCGUUAAGGUACCUGUGAUUUGUUUGUUUUUUGAUCUCCAUCUGCCACUAUAAAUUUCGAAUCUCAGUAUAAGCUUCUUUCAAUUGCAGACUGGCCCUGGCUAAUCCAUCAUAAUAAUACAUAUGCUUAUCUCAAUUGUAGUUGUGAAUUUCACAAUUGUACACUAUUUGUAGUUCAUCUAUCAUCGUACAAGAGGCUCGUUGCUCCAUUAAUUCGACAGUUUGUUCUCCGGGUCUAAUUUUCUCAUGAAUCGUAUGGGUAAUCCCUUGAUGUGCAUCUAUGAUCUCCAACGUCAAUUUUAUUGAGUCGCGAAGAGUAGUGUACAUAAAGUUAGGUGGAGGCAGGUUUAAUUUAGCUACUACAUCCUCCAGAAUCAUGCUUUUAGACACUAUAAUAAACUCUCUCUCCAUUUUUUAUUUUUGGUUAUGUCUUGCUAUGGAUUCUAGACUGUUACCUUAUGGCCAAUUUAUAUAGACAAGUGCCGACCAAAUGCAAUCUUAUAUUUGUUCCCACAAAUCCAAAUGUUUGCCACUA